rnacentral:lncRNA from 10 species
GUUUGUCAUUCACACUCCUUAGGCUCUGGAUCAGUGGCUAUGUAUUAGUCAUGGGAACCAAUUAUCCAAGGGUGUUUGGUUAAGAUGGUUUUAUUGGUGCUGGAGCAUGCAGAAUGACAAUGACUAAUGGUGUCCCACAUACUAUCAUUAUUUACUUCGUCCUCCCGUGUGCCAGGAUGUUUUUGCUUGAGCUGACUUGUUUCCCUUUUUGACUCUCCUUCCUGAAAAUCAUGAUACCAUCCAGUGCAGAAGAGGACGCUGGCGUGUAGAAGAAGAGAGGGAAUAAGAGCAGAAAAAGUUCCCUUGAACCCUGGAGGUUGCAGUGAGCCAAGAUCACGCCACUGUGCUCCAGCCUGGGCAACAGAGUGAGACUCAAUCUGAAAGAAAAAAAAAAAAAAGACAUCACCAAGGGCUACCUGGAUCUCUCAGAAUGGGUUUGUUGGAUGAAUGAAGGCUGAGAAUCUCUUGCUGGUUCCUCUACAACCUGAGCCUGACCUGAUGACUGGCAGUAGUUGCUGAAUUCUACCCUCAACAGUGGUGCAAGUUUGGGCUUCUGGGCCCAUAAACCUAUAUCCCCUGACCCUCUGACCAUCUCUGACCCUCUUGUGAACCAUCUGUUAUUUCAAAAGGUAUCAUACAUUCCUUCCAAAUAAAACUUCAUUUAGCUCA